CUUAAUAGCUUUCUCCUCAAUCUCUAUCUUUUCUCCAAGAUAUUGCUUUAUAUGUCUUGCAUAAACAGGAAUUUGUUGAAGUGUUUUGGUCAACGGUGUAGUAAUCUCCAUUUGAUUGAAGAUUUCUCUAAAACACUCACACUUACUCUUUUUUCUCUCUUUCUCUCUUGUGUAAGGAAGAUCUCUCUCGUCUUUCUCAAUUUUCUCCUCUUUUUCUAUUUUUUUCUCUUCCCCCUUCUCUUUUUCUUCUUCAAUCAUUCCCUCACCUAUUUCUUCUUUUUCCUCUCUCUUUUCUAACUCUACACUUUCUUUUUCCACUCUUUCCUCAACCAUGCUCACCACAACCUUACAAUCUUCUCUAGGGUUAACUUCAGUUUUAGCCCCAAAUUGAUUUUUCUCUGUGACAUCCACCCUUUUAGAUAACUGACCAAUUUGCGUCUUCAAACUCC
rnacentral:lncRNA from 1 species